rnacentral:piRNA from 1 species
UCUUGAGUGACUCCAAAUUGGAAUGAG